AUUGAACGCUGGCGGCAUGCUUUACACAUGCAAGUCGAACGGCAGCACGGGCUUCGGCCUGGUGGCGAGUGGCGAACGGGUGAGUAAUAUAUCGGAACGUACCCAGAAGUGGGGGUUAACGUAGCGAAAGUUACGCUAAUACCGCAUACGAUCUAUGGAUGAAAGCAGGGGACCGCAAGGCCUUGUGCUCCUGGAGCGGCCGAUAUCUGAUUAGCUAGUUGGUGAGGUAAAGGCUCACCAAGGCGACGAUCAGUAGCUGGUCUGAGAGGAUGACCAGCCACACUGGAACUGAGACACGGUCCAGACUCCUACGGGAGGCAGCAGUGGGGAAUUUUGGACAAUGGGCGCAAGCCUGAUCCAGCAAUGCCGCGUGAGUGAAGAAGGCCUUCGGGUUGUAAAGCUCUUUUGUCAGGGAAGAAACGGUAGAGGCUAAUAUCCUUUGCUAAUGACGGUACCUGAAGAAUAAGCACCGGCUAACUACGUG
rnacentral:rRNA from 1 species